rnacentral:rRNA from 1 species
UUUCUGCUCGAGGAUGUACAUUUAAAUGUAAUUUUUGUUAUCGCAUGGAUAAAGGAUAUCGUCCAAGAAACAUUCAUAAAAUUCUUGAGGAGAUAGAAUAUCUUCAGAAAAAUUACGGCAUUACUUAUAUUCUUUUUGCUGAUGAAUUAUUGAUGUCUUCUAAGAGAAGAGUUAUUGAGGU